rnacentral:rRNA from 1 species
UUACCUGGUUUGAUCCUGCCAGUAGUCAUAUGCUUGUCUCAAAGAUUAAGCCAUGCAUGUCUAAGUACAGGCCGAAACAAGGCGAAACCGCGAAUGGCUCAUUAAAUCAGUUAUGGUUCAUUGGAUCUUACCUUGUUUUACUUGGAUAACUGUGGUAAUUCUAGAGCUAAUACGUGAUACCCCAGCUCCGACCGCAAGGAAAGAGCGCUUUUAUUAGAUCAAAACCAAUCGGGCUUCGGUCCGUUCUCACUGUGGUGACUCUGAAUAACUUUGAGCUGAGCGCAUGGUCUUCGAACCGGCGCCAUAUCCUUCAAGUGUCUGCCUUAUCAGCUUUCGAUUGUAGGUUAUGCGCCUACAAUGGCUAUAACGGGUAACGGGGAAUCAGGGUUCGAUUCCGGAGAGGGAGCCUGAGAAACGGCUACCACAUCUAAGGAAGGCAGCAGGCACGCAAAUUACCCACUCCCGGCCCGGGGAGGUAGUGACGAAAAAUAACGAUGCGGGACUCUUCCGAGGCCUCGCAAUCGGAAUGAGCACACUUUAAAUCCUUUAACGAGGAUCUAUUGGAGGGCAAGUCUGGUGCCAGCAGCCGCGGUAAUUCCAGCUCCAAUAGCGUAUAUUAAAGUUGCUGCGGUUAAAAAGCUCGUAGUUGGAUCUCAGUUCCGGACCGACGGUUCACCGCCCGGUGCUUACUGUCGGCUUCCGAACAGCCGCACGCCGGCUCGGCCAGGGUGCUCUUCAUCGAGUGUCCUGGUUUCGGCCGGCACGUUUACUUUGAAAAAAUUAGAGUGCUCAGCGCAGGCUGCAACGCCUGAAUAAUCUGUGCAUGGAAUAAUGGAAUAGGACCUCGGUUCUAUUUUGUUGGUUUUCGGAACCCGAGGUAAUGAUUAAUAGGAACUGUCGGGGGCAUUCGUAUUGCGACGUUAGAGGUGAAAUUCUUGGAUCGUCGCAAGACGGACUACUGCGAAAGCAUUUGCCAAGAAUGUUUUCAUUAAUCAAGAACGAAAGUUAGAGGUUCGAAGGCGAUCAGAUACCGCCCUAGUUCUAACCAUAAACGAUGCCAACCAGCGAUCCGCCGGCGUUAUUCCCAUGACUCGGCGGGCAGCUUCCGGGAAACCAAAGUCUCUGGGUUCCGGGGGAAGUAUGGUUGCAAAGCUGAAACUUAAAGGAAUUGACGGAAGGGCACCACCAGGAGUGGAGCCUGCGGCUUAAUUUGACUCAACACGGGGAACCUCACCAGGCCCGGACACCGGAAGGAUUGACAGAUUGAGAGCUCUUUCUCGAUUCGGUGGGUGGGGGUGCAUGGCCGUU